GAUUUCUUGUUACUUCUUCUUGUAGAGGUUAAGCAAUGAAGUAGAACACGGACAGUUUCCGUGGCAGCAACAACAGAAUCAAGAUUACGCAUUCUCACAGCAGCAACAUCUACAGUUUCAACAGCAGCAACAUCAGCAUCUGGAGUAUGCACAACCACAACUGCCACAGGAACAGUUUAUGCCACAGCCCCAGCAACAACUACAGCCCCAGCAACAGCACCAGCAACAAGUACAUGAUCAGGAAAUCCUCUUUAAUGGAAUUACAAAGGAACAAUUAUCCGGAAAGGUGAAACACCUUGCCUUCUCUAAGGCAUGCAAAACCUUGUGUAGGAUGAUGUUUAAGGACAGUGAGAGAGAGGGGCACUCUGUUUCCGGCAUGGGGGAGAAGCCGGGUCUUGACAAGGAGAAACUUGAACAGUUAUAUGACAUCAUGAGGCAGCAGUUUCCUGGACCACAGAGCAGCAAUCAGGCCAUCAACAUUAAGCUUGCAUGAGUGUUGAAGCCAUCUGCAACUCCUUAGAAGUCUUAAAGUGUCAAUAGUAGAUAAAUCCAAAACAUAGGAGCAGGCGCUUUCAGGGCAUAUGAAGUGUGGCUGCAGAAGCAUCCCUAGAAAUGCCAACUCUUGUGAGAACAUCUAACAUGAGGAAAUACAUGGCUACCAUGUUGCAGGCUCUCAAUACUACUGAAGCAGACAGACAGUGGGUCUUGGAUCAUUUAGGGCACACAAUGGAAGUACACAAAAUUCAUUCCCGGAUGACGUCAGACAUUCUGGAAAGGGUGGAUGUCGCAAAGAUUCUGUUGAUACAAGAUAUGGGUUUGGUCGGACAAUUUAAGGGAAAAAGACUUGAGGACAUUCAGUUAAAUGGUGUUGUUAUCAGAUGGCCAUCAAAUUUACGUCAAUGAAACAAAGCUGGCACUGAAAAGUGAGAGUCGAAGGACUUGGUCCCUGCUGGACUACUUCUUGGCGCCAAAGUAUCUGGCUGUUCAUAGCGCAACAGGGGGAAAAUCGACCAAACCCGCCCUGCCAGGCAAAAUUAUUCUGGCAAUAAAAGUGUUUCAGGACAUAAGAUGCAUCCUUGAAUACCAUCAUCAACAGAAAAUGUCUGGACAGCAAAAGAUACAUUUGAAUGGAAAAAGACAUUUCCGAAGAUGGAGUCCAUGCAGUCAAAUUUUAAAAUCAUAUAUAAAAUAUUUGAAUGACAUGGAUAUUGUUUUUUAGUUCUUU
rnacentral:misc_RNA from 1 species